rnacentral:ncRNA from 1 species
AUGAGUAACGAAAAAGGAAAAUUUUCCUCGCCUUAAGCUUAUGGAAUUAUAUGUAAGUAACGGCCUCUAAGUUAAUUGACCUAAAGGUCUAAACGAUGAGAAAAAUCUUUAAUUUUAUUGUAACAACCUUAUAUAAGUGUAUAAGUGUUCUGGAAAAACAAUAAAUAACGUAAGGAUAGACUAUUAUGUUAAACUUUACGAAAAUAAACCGUACCUAAACGCACCAAGAGGUAAGCUAGUAGAGAAUACGAAGGCGCUUGAGUGAACAAUCAUUAAGGAACUCGGCAAACUAACUACCGUAACUUAGGGAGAAGGAGUGCCGAUCCUCCCGUUUAAUAUCGGGUAGGAUAAGGAAGCAUAGAAUCGUGUUGUCCGACUGUUUAAUUAAAACAAAGCACGCUGCAUUAAGAUGAAAGUCUAAGUAUAGAGUGUGAUGUCUGCCCGAUGCCGGCUGGUUAACGGAGUUUCUGGGCUGCGUCUAUAUGAUGUUGGUCUGGUUUUGAAGGAUACCCCGGUUAAUGGCGGCCUUAUCUAUGAGGGUCCAAAGGUAGCAAAAUACCUUGGCCACUAAAUAUGGUCUUGCAUGAAUGAUGUAACGAUACAACAGCUGUCUCGAUGAUUGGCUCAGUGAAAUU